rnacentral:rRNA from 1 species
CAACUUUCAGCAACGGAUCUCUUGGCUCUCGCAUCGAUGAAGAACGCAGCGAAAUGCGAUAAGUAAUGUGAAUUGCAGAAUUCAGUGAAUCAUCGAAUCUUUGAACGCACCUUGCRCUCCUUGGUAUUCUGAGGAGCAUGCCUGUUUGAGUGUCAUUAA